rnacentral:tRNA from 1 species
GCGGCUGUAGUCUAAUGGUAGGACAGGAGCUUCCCAAGCUCCUAACGCGGGUUCGAUUCCCGCCGGCCGCA